GAUACCCUAUUAUUUUUAAUGUAUAAUUGAGCCUUUAUUAUUAAUAGUUAUGGUCUUUAAAAUUAAAGAAUUUGGCGGUAUUUUAGUCUGUUCAGAGGAACCUGUUUCUUGAUUGAUGAUCCACGAUAAUAAUUACUUUAUCUUUAAAUUUAUAUAUCGUUGUUUAUAAAAAUUUUAGGAGAAUAAUAAUUUUUAAUUUUUUUAAUAAAAGUUUAUUUCAGAUCAAGGUGUAGUUAAUGAUAAAGUUGGAAUGGGUUACAUUAUAUUUAUAUGUGGUUUUUGAAUUUUAAAUUUAGGAUAAAUUGGAUUUGAUAGUAAGUUCUUUAUUUUUGGGAAUUGAUUUAGCUCUAAAAUAUGUACACAUCGCC
rnacentral:rRNA from 1 species